GUGGGUUGCCAUUUCCUUCUCCAAUGCAUGAAAGUGAAGUCACUCAGUCGUGUCUGACUCUUAGAGACCUCAUGGACUGCAGCCUACCAGGCUCCUCCAUUCAUGGGAUUAGGCAAGAGUACUGGAGUGGGGUGCCAUUGCCUUCUCUGAACAACCUUGCUGCUGCUGCUGCUAAGUUGCUUCAGUCGUGUCCGACUCUGUGCAGCCCCAUAAACAGCAGCCCACCAGGCUCCCCCGUCCCUGGGAUUCUCCAGGCAAGAACACUGGAGUGGGUUGCCAUUUCCUUCUCCAAUGCAUGAAAGUGAAAAGUGAAAGUGAAGUCGCUCAGUCGUGUCCAACUCUUAGCGACCCCAUGGUCGCUUCUCCAUCCAUGGGAUUUUCCAGGCAAGAGUACUGGAGUGGGGUGUCAUUGCCUUCUCCGAACAACCUUGCUAGUUGGGUUCUAUUGAUGUCAGCUUCAAUUUGUAAAUGAGGAGACACAGGUUUAGAGAGUGUAAGUAAUUCCGUAACAGCUUGUGAGUGGUAGAAGCUGGUGUUUAAACCCAACCAUUCUGUUCCUGGAGUCUAUGCUCUUAACCACCACGUUCUGCUGAACUUCAUUGAAUAAAUUACCCCUAAGUCCUUUCCCUUCAAGAACAAGUGAGCUAGAUUAAUUUUUUAAAGUAGGAAGAUUAAAAGUAUUUAGGCCUGGGGUGAGCAAAUGAAGUACUAUAGGCCAAAUAUGGUGAGGCCCACAAGCUAAUAAUUUUUUUUUCAAGUGGUUGAAAAAAAUUUUAAAUAAUAUUUUGAGACACGUUAAAAUUAUAUACAAUUCAAAUUUUAAUCUCCACCAUUAAAGUUUUAUUGGAACACAAGUAUAUCCAUGUAUGUGUCUCUAGGCCCAUUUUGUGCUAUAGGAGCAAUGCUGAAUAAUUGCGAGAGAGACCCUACAGCCUCCUAACCCUAAAAUAUUUACUAUCUGACACUUUGCAGGAAAAGUUUGCUGAUCCCCUACUAUAACCAAAAACUGGCAAAUGAACAGAAGUAGAUUUAAGAGCUUGAAUUCCUCAGGAAUGUUGUUGUCCUCACCCCUCCUCUCAGUGCCUGGAGGGACCGCUUCCACGCCUGCACUGCAUUAGGAGGUGGGAUGGGCGUGGGGAGGAAAGAAACCUCUGACCCAGUUGCUGCUGCUGCUAAGUCGCUUCAGUCGUGUCCGACUCUGUGCGACCCCAGAGACGGCGUUCGUUGCAUUUCCUGGGUGGAGGAGGAAGGUGAAAGGAUGCUCGCAGAGACCAACAACCAUCUCUUCCUGCCACUUUGAAUUAGACUUCUCUGGAUAUCUCAGGUUGUUGGAAAUCCUCUCAAUCAAUGAAUUAUCCACCUCCUACUUGCCAAUAUAUUUGGGAGCUUUGUGCUCUCCAACAGAUCAGAGACAGACAUGAAGGAUGCUGUUAAAUGUGCAGGCCAGUAAAUAUACCUAUAUGAUGACCUUUGUGUUCACUCACUGUGCUAUGGUUAGAUAUAGGGAACAGUUGUCCCCAUGUUAGGUUCCUUCCAUCCCAUACCCAUCAUAAUUUUUCCUGACCCCCUUGGAGACUGAGGAAGGGUGGCAGUGGUAAGGAUUUAUUGCUCUUCCUUGAUAUGUGUGGAUAAAUUGCACCAUUCCAACAAGAUCUGGACUCAUACAACAGACUCUCCCUGCCGGCUUGGCUGUGUUCUCUGUUCCGCAGACAACAAAGGAUGACAGGUUGUAAGUUUCAGCAUCAGAAGAGAGCAACUGGCUUCCGUUGGCAACCUUACUUGUUAACUGGCAGCUCCGAGAAACAAGAUUCCCUGGGUCAUCUAAGGACAGGCAGCAGCUGAUGCGUUUAAGAAGCGGCAGCAAAGAAGGGGUUGAUGGCAGUUCUAUAGCCCUGCAGCACUUAGUCUCCCUCUCCCUCUGCCCUUUCUUCUCUCUAGAGCUCUUAUCCCUUCUCUCAGCAGCACCCUGGUUAGAAGGAUCGGAUUGUAAGAAAUAGAAUAAAAAGCACUCCCAUUUCCUGAAUAGGUUGGCUGCAUGGAAAGGAACCCAGCCCAGCCUUUGUGACUACAUAAGUUACCUGCCCAGUAAAUGCCUUUCUAUCUUCUGCAGCAAACCUAGCCCACUUGGGAGCAUCUGUUCCUAGUAAGGAAUAAAGUAUACCUC
ensembl:lncRNA